UACGGAGGAUCCAAGCGUUAUCCGGAUUUAUUGGGUUUAAAGGGUGCGUAGGCGGCCUGUUAAGUCAGGGGUGAAAUUUUUCGGCUCAACCGGAAGCUUGCCUUUGAUACUGAUGGGCUUGAAUAGACCUGAGGUAGGCGGAAUGUGACAAGUAGCGGUGAAAUGCAUAGAUAUGUCACAGAACACCGAUUGCGAAGGCAGCUUACUAAAGUCAGAUUGACGCUGAGGCACGAAAGCGUGGGGAUCAAACAGG
rnacentral:rRNA from 1 species